CAGCCGCCGCGGUAAUACAGAGGGUGCGAGCGUUAAUCGGAUUUACUGGGCGUAAAGCGUGCGUAGGCGGCUUCUUAAGUCGGAUGUGAAAUCCCUGAGCUUAACUUAGGAAUUGCAUUCGAUACUGGGAAGCUAGAGUAUGGGAGAGGAUGGUAGAAUUCCAGGUGUAGCGGUGAAAUGCGUAGAGAUCUGGAGGAAUACCGAUGGCGAAGGCAGCCAUCUGGCCUAAUACUGACGCUGAGGUACGAAAGCAUGGGGAGCAAACAGGAUUAGAUACCCCUGUAGUCCCUGUCUCUUAUAU
rnacentral:rRNA from 1 species